UACGUAGGGGGCAAGCGUUGUUCGGAAUUACUGGGCGUAAAGGGCGUACAGGCGGCUAUAUAAGUCAGAUGUGAAAUUCUUGGGCUUAACCCGGGAACUGCAUCUGAUACUGCAUAGCUUGAGAUCAGGAGAGGAGAGUGGAAUAUGUGGUGUAGCGGUGAAAUGCGUAGAUAUCACAUAGAACACCGGUGGCGAAGGCGGCUCUCUGGCCUGAUUCUGACGCUGACGCGCGAAAGCUAGGGUAGCGAACGGGAUUAGAUACCCUUGUA
rnacentral:rRNA from 1 species